rnacentral:tRNA from 1 species
AUCGAUAUGUCCGAGUGGUCAAGGAGACGGACUCGCAAUCUGUUGUUUUUUUUUUUUUGCCUGCGCAGGUUCGGAUCCUGCUGCCGACG